CCUACGGGAGGCAGCAGUGAGGAAUAUUGGUCAAUGGGCGCGAGCCUGAACCAGCCAAGUAGCGUGAAGGAUGACUGCCCUACGGGUUGUAAACUUCUUUUAUAAAGGACUAAAGUGAGGCACGUGUGCCUGUUUGUAUGUACUUUAUGAAUAAGGAUCGGCUAACUCCGUGCCAGCAGCCGCGGUAAUACGGAGGAUCCGAGCGUUAUCCGGAUUUAUUGGGUUUAAAGGGAGCGUAGAUGGGUUGUUAAGUAAGUUGUGAAAGUUUGCGGCUCAACCGUAAAAUUGCAAUUGAUACUGGCAGUCUGGAGUACAGUUGAGGUAGGAGGAAUGCGUGGUGUAGCGGUGAAAUGCUUAGAUAUCACGAAGAACUCCGAUUGCGAAGGCAGCUUACGAAACUGCCACUGACAUUGAUGCUCGAAAGUGUGGGUAUCAAACAGGAUUAGAUACCCUUGUAGUC
rnacentral:rRNA from 1 species